rnacentral:rRNA from 1 species
ACGCACGCUGGCGGCGUGCUUAACACAUGCCAGUCGAACGCUGAAGACCUGGCUUUUGUUGGGUUGGAUGAGUGGCGAACGGGUGAGUAACACGUGAGUAACCUGCCCUCUUCUUUGGGAUAACGCCCGGAAACGGGUGCUAAUACUGGAUAUUCACUGAUCUUCGCAUGGGGGUUGGUGGAAAGGUUUGUUCUGGUGGGGGAUGGGCUCGCGGCCUAUCAGCUUGUUGGUGGGGUGAUGGCCUACCAAGGCUUUGACGGGUAGCCGGCCUGAGAGGGUGACCGGUCACAUUGGGACUGAGAUACGGCCCAGACUCCUACGGGAGGCAGCAGUGGGGAAUAUUGCACAAUGGGCGAAAGCCUGAUGCAGCGACGCCGCGUGAGGGAUGGAGGCCUUCGGGUUGUAAACCUCUUUCGCUCAUGGUCAAGCCGCAACUGUGGGUUGUGGUGAGGGUAGUGGGUAAAGAAGCGCCGGCUAACUACGUG